GGGGUUGACUGGAUUUGACAGCAGACGAGAUGGUACGUAAGCACGCGGAGCCUCGAUGGCUAGCUCCUAAAUCUGAGUGAUCAAAAUUUUAAUUGGCGAAAACAACUACGCUCUCGCUGCCUAAUCGAAGUACAGUAGAUUACUGGCUUAAUCCCGUCACUAGGUGAUGGGACGAGACAUCGCUCAGGAGCUCUUUUUCCGAACCAUCCUGAUCAAGCGGUGCAGAUCAAGUCGGAAAUAGCCAGUGGCGGCCUCGAGCCGCUGGUGAAGAUUUAGAGGAUAAGGCGACAGUUGGUGGUCUGGGUCUUGCUGUCGCUCGAAAAUCGAAGGCCAGAAUAAGCGUGUAGAAAGCGUAUGGUUUCCCUGUUUGGACGCGGGUUCGACUCCCGCCAGCUCCACUA
rnacentral:tmRNA from 2 species